GACGAACGCUGGCGGCGUGCUUAACACAUGCAAGUCGAACGGAGUGCCUAAGAAAGAGGAUUCGUCCAAUGGAUUAGGUUACUUAGUGGCGGACUGGUGAGUAACGCGUGAGGAACCUGCCUUCCAGAGGGGGACAACAGUUGGAAACGACUGCUAAUACCGCAUGAUACGUCGAAGCCGCAUGACUUUGACGUCAAAGAUUUAUCGCUGGAAGAUGGCCUCGCGUCUGAUUAGCUAGUUGGUGGGGUAACGGCCCACCAAGGCGACGAUCAGUAGCCGGACUGAGAGGUUGGCCGGCCACAUUGGGACUGAGAUACGGCCCAG
rnacentral:rRNA from 1 species